rnacentral:rRNA from 1 species
GAUGAACGCUGGCGGUAUGCUUAACACAUGCAAGUCGAACGGACUCUUCGGAGUUAGUGGCGGACGGGUGAGUAACGCGUGAGAAUCUGGCUUUGGGUUCGGGACAAUCACUGGAAACGGUGGCUAAUACCGGAUGUGCCGAGAGGUAAAAGAGAAAUUGCCUGAAGAUGAGCUCGCGUCUGAUUAGCUAGUUGGUGAGGUAAAGGCUCACCAAGGCAGCGAUCAGUAGCUGGUCUGAGAGGAUGACCAGCCACACUGGGACUGAGACACGGCCCAGACUCCUACGGGAGGCAGCAGUGGGGAAUUUUCCGCAAUGGGCGAAAGCCUGACGGAGCAAUACCGCGUGAGGGAAGAAGGCUCUUGGGUUGUAAACCUCUUUUCUUAGGGAAGAACAAAAUGACGGUACCUAAGGAAUCAGCAUCGGCUAACUCCGUG